rnacentral:rRNA from 1 species
GACGAACGCUGGCGGCGUGCCUAAUACAUGCAAGUAGAACGCUGAAGGAGGAGCUUGCUUCUCUGGAUGAGUUGCGAACGGGUGAGUAACGCGUAGGUAACCUGCCUGGUAGCGGGGGAUAACUAUUGGAAACGAUAGCUAAUACCGCAUAAUAGUAGAUGUUGCAUGACAUUUGCUUAAAAGGUGCAAUUGCAUCACUACCAGAUGGACCUGCGUUGUAUUAGCUAGUUGGUGAGGUAACGGCUCACCAAGGCGACGAUACAUAGCCGACCUGAGAGGGUGAUCGGCCACACUGGGACUGAGACACGGCCCAGACUCCUACGGGAGGCAGCAGUAGGGAAUCUUCGGCAAUGGACGGAAGUCUGACCGAGCAACGCCGCGUGAGUGAAGAAGGUUUUCGGAUCGUAAAGCUCUGUUGUAAGAGAAGAACGAGUGUGAGAGUGGAAAGUUCACACUGUGACGGAUCUAC